GACGAACGCUGGCGGCGUGCUUAACACAUGCAAGUCGAACGGAAAGGCCCUGCUUUUGUGGGGUGCUCGAGUGGCGAACGGGUGAGUAACACGUGAGUAACCUGCCCUUGACUUUGGGAUAACUUCAGGAAACUGGGGCUAAUACCGGAUAGGAGCUCCUGCUGCAUGGUGGGGGUUGGAAAGUUUCGGCGGUUGGGGAUGGACUCGCGGCUUAUCAGCUUGUUGGUGGGGUAGUGGCUUACCAAGGCUUUGACGGGUAGCCGGCCUGAGAGGGUGACCGGCCACAUUGGGACUGAGAUACGGCCCAGACUCCUACGGGAGGCAGCAGUGGGGAAUAUUGCACAAUGGGAGGAAGCCUGAUGAAGCAACGCCGCGUGCGGGAUGACGGCCUUCGGGUUGUAAACCGCUUUCGCCUGUGACGAAGCGUGAGUGACGGUAAUGGGUAAAGAAGCACCGGCUAACUACGUG
rnacentral:rRNA from 1 species